rnacentral:lncRNA from 1 species
CCCCACCCCACAGGAAAGGAACAGGCAACAGAACGUAGUAGCAAAAAAGUUUAUUUUACAGGUUUAAUAAAAUACAUAUAAAAUAAAUAAUAAUAAUAAUAAAAAAAAUCAAUAAAUUACAGUGGGAGGGAGGGCCCAUAUCACCAACCCCCCCCUCCCCCAAAACAUGCAGAGUGCCCCUCAUCACUGGGGUACUCCCCUUCCACAAGCAGAGCCCUGGGGUUUCCCAUCAGUCAGAGGGUUCCUCAUCAGCAGGAGGGGUCCCAUGGGGGGGGGAGGGGAGGGGCGGGGAGGUGUCAUCCAUCAGUGGGCUCCUGGGGGGGGGGGGUCCUGGAGGCUCUCCCCUCCUUGCAGCCGUUCCCAAAUGCGCUCCCGGUGCGAGGGCUGCAGGAUGGGCUCCAGGAUGGGGCGCAGCAGAGCACAGCGGCGGGCAAAGCGCAGGCGGUCGCGGGCCAUGGUCUCCCAAGGCCCCCGGCGGGCAUCGGGGUCUGGGGGGGGCUGGAGGAGGAAGACCUGGACCUGAAGGCUGAACCGUACCUUGGGAGGGAGGGGGAAGAAAACAGAAAGAGGGAGGGGGUGAUGUCAUCCUGAUGGUGUCAUGAGUGAUGCAAGAGACACGGGACUGCCCCAUGACUCCUACCCCCACCCAUCCCAUAUAAGGCUCGGCUUCUUGGUGAUGUUGGGGGCUCAUCCCUGUGGGGUCCCACAGUUUUUUUUUUGGGGGGGGGGGGGGGUUGGAUUCCAUCUCAUGCCCCCAUCCCCCAGCCCCCAAAUGCCCACUUAUGUGGCACUCACUCUCUUGGUGCUGCGAGGGCGGACCUCUUCGCUCCCGGGUUCUUCAUUGUUAGGGGGUUCCCCAGUGUUGGGAGGGUCUCCAUCCGCCGGGGGGGUCUCGGGGGUGUCCCCGUCCCACCCUUGCUCAUCAUCGUCGUCCUCGUCAGGCUCCGGGCGGUAGAAAAGGGCGUUUAGAAUGGGGGGGUGCAGGGGGUCCUCAGCCGCCAUCAGAGGGGCACAAGGGGGUGCCAUAUCCUAGAAAAGGAAACAGAAAAGUGAGGAGGGGGGCGGCGGGGGGUGAAGGGACCCCCAACCUCCUACGAACCCAGGACCCCCCCCCCCCCCAUCAGACCCAAAGAACCCCCCCACCCCACUCCACUCUGACUACGGCACUCCCUACAUUUUGGGGACCCCCCCCACAGAAUCUCGGGCCCCUCUCAAUGUCCGGACCCCCCCCCCCCAGCCCUCACCUGACGCUCGCGUUGUUCGCUCCGUGUCCGUCACCAUCGCUGCUCUCUGUAUCAUCGCCGGC